rnacentral:rRNA from 1 species
CAGCCGCCACGGUAAUACGAAGGGGGCUAGCGUUGUUCGGAAUCACUAGGCGUAAAGCGCACGUAGGCGGAUUUUUAAGUCAGGGGUGAAAUCCCGAGGCUCAACCUCGGAACUGCCUUUGAUACUGGGAAUCUGGGGUCCGGGAGAGGUGAGCGGAACUGCGAGUGUAGAGGUGAAAUUCGUAGAUAUUCGCAAGAACACCAGUGGCGAAGGCGGCUCACUGGCCCGGUACUGACGCUGAGACGAAAGCUAGGGGAGCAAAUGGGAUUAGAUACCCCAGUAGUCCCUGUCUCUUAUACAA